UAGGUGUGUACUAUCAUGCCAGAC
rnacentral:piRNA from 1 species